GAACGCGAAGAACCUUACCUGGCCUUGACAUGUACCGAAUUUACCAGAGAUGGUUUAGUGCUCGAAAGAGAACGGUAACACAGGUGCUGCAUGGCUGUCGUCAGCUCGUGUCGUGAGAUGUUGGGUUAAGUCCCGCAACGAGCGCAACCCUUGCCAAUAAUUGCCAUCAUUUAGUUGGGCACUUUAUUGGGACUGCCGAUGACAAAUCGGAGGAAGGUGGGGAUGACGUCAAGUCCUCAUGGCCCUUAUGGCCAGGGCUUCACACGUAAUACAAUGGUCGGUACAGAGGGUCGCCAACCCGCGAGGGGGAGCUAAUCCCAGAAAGCCGAUCGUAGUCCGGAUUGCAGGCUGCAACUCGCCUGCAUGAAGUCGGAAUCGCUAGUAAUCGCGGAUCAGCAUGUCGCGGUGAAUACGUUCCCGGGUCUUGUACACACC
rnacentral:rRNA from 1 species